rnacentral:lncRNA from 1 species
CCGGCGGGCUAGGCAGUCCUUUCGUUCCGCGAGUCCUAGAUUCGAUCCCUGGCUAUUCUCUCUUCCUCACUUUUCCUAGCUGUUCAAAGUGCGCUACUUCUCAUCUUCUGCCCCCGGGAAAUAAGCAAAACAAAACCCAGGCUGGCUCCGGAGAGUUUGUAGCAAAGUUAGUUGCCGAAUCUCCACUUUGAAGUUGGAGGGUGGGGGUGGCUUGCUUUCUUUGGGGAGGUUCAAAGGACGCCUUGUGCAGCCCGUGGCGCUCCUCUGAUCUUACUGGGAUGCUCUGCUCUUUCGGUCGCGCGGCUGAUUCGCAUUCGACGCUCACUGUGCCCGGGGAGAAAGCGCAUCCAGCCCGCGGGAGAUCUAGCCUCUGUGCGGGCUUCCUCCGCCCACGCUGCCCCGGGCUGCUGCGCCAGAAAGGGCAGUGCCACGGAUCCCCGCGGCUCCCAGGUCCUCACCUCCACCCGCCUUGCCCUCUGGCCCACGGGGCACUGGAGUUGCAAUAUUGAAAAGAAAAAGGGGGAGGAAAAACACAGAAAAACAAAAGACUAAGUGUGAAAAGUCUGACGGCUGGGUUUCGGCGCCGCUCGUCAGUCCACUUCUGCAAACGGGCCCGGCGACCCCCGCCCCACCCCCGCUCCCUCUCUCCCUCUCACUCUCAGCCUUUGACUCUCCUCUCUGGCAUUUUCUUCGCGGCUUCCCAGGCUUCGGUCUUCUAAGUCCUGUCCUCUGGCCAAACUGACCCUCUCCGCGGCUCCUCCGCUCUUUCUCUCCUUUCCUCUCUCCCUCCGGGCCUGACAGUUCAGAUGAAGCUCUCAAAGGGUUGAACUGCGGGCUGGAGAAGGAAAACCC